AGAGAUAAAGCUAAACCCGUCGUGAGGCGGGGACAGAAAGUUUCGGGUCUCAAAGGAAGGCGGCCGGGCUGCCUUAA
rnacentral:ncRNA from 1 species